UAGGUUAGGUUUAGUUAAUUAGUUUCUCCUGGGGGCAGGCCUUAUUAAGAAGAUCAGAGUGCUCUGGUGUAUUUCAGAAUGAUUCUUUUUCCCCUCCUCCUGCCGGAAGCCUGAAGAGGUUUUUCUCUGUUGUGUAGCAUGGGAAAUGGGUUGUACUCCUGGAGGUAAAUCCCACAAUAUGCGGAGAUCCUCCUCUGAUUAAACCCCUCCUGAAGUUUUACCCUCUCAGAGUUGUCUUCAAGGAGCCUCCAGCAAUUCAUCAGUUACAGUUUUGGUUCUCUUACCCUGGCACUGGUUCCUGAGGCGGUUUCUGCUCCUGAGUCUCUGCUUUGGUGUCUUAUCAUUGUCUGCCUGCACAGAAUGAAAACACUGUCCACUUCACACUGAAGUCAUGAAGAUUAAAUGAGGCAAUGGAUUUGACAUUGGUUCAGAAGACUCCAUUUGCCAGCACACUGUGAAUAAAGCCAUCUCUCUAGGAGCGAUUCCCAGUCUCUAAGCUCAAAGAGGUCAUAUGGAUGGGUACUCUCCCAUGCAGACAGACAUAAGAACAGAAGUCAAAUCAAAACCAGAAGUCUAUUUGGCGAGUAUGGAAUUAAAAUGAGCAAAAUUAA